GACGAACGCUGGCGGCGUGCCUAAUACAUGCAAGUUGAGCGCUGAAGGUUGGUACUUGUACCAACUGGAUGAGCAGCGAACGGGUGAGUAACGCGUGGGGAAUCUGCCUUUGAGCGGGGGACAACAUUUGGAAACGAAUGCUAAUACCGCAUAAAAACUUUAAACACAAGUUUUAAGUUUGAAAGAUGCAAUUGCAUCACUCAAAGAUGAUCCCGCGUUGUAUUAGCUAGUUGGUGAGGUAAAGGCUCACCAAGGCGAUGAUACAUAGCCGACCUGCGGGGGUGAUCGGCCACAUUGGGACUGAGACACGGCCCAAACUCCUACGGGAGGCAGCAGUAGGGAAUCUUCGGCAAUGGACGAAAGUCUGACCGAGCAACGCCGCGUGAGUGAAGAAGGUUUUCGGAUCGUAAAACUCUGUUGGUAGAGAAGAACGUUGGUGAGAGUGGAAAGCUCAUCAAGUGACGGUAACUACCCAGAAAGGGACGGCUAACUACGUG
rnacentral:rRNA from 1 species